GCUCCCGUGGUGUAGUCCGGCCAAUCAUUUCGGCUUUUCGAGCCGAAGACCUGGGUUCAAAACCAAAAUUUUCAUAAAUGAAAGAAAAUGCAGCUUUUAUAUGGCAAAAAUUUUAUUUUGCUCAAAGCAAAUAAAAUUUUUGGGUGAAAGUCCCGGCGGGAGCA
rnacentral:tRNA from 1 species